GUUGAACGCUGGCGGUAUGCUUAACACAUGCAAGUCGAACGAAGAGAAAGAGCUUGCUCUUUCGAUUAGUGGCGGACGGGUGCGUAACGCGUAGGAAUCUACCUAUUAGUGGGGGACAACUUAGGGAAACUUAAGCUAAUACCGCAUACGCCCUACGGGGGAAAGAAGGGGAUCGCAAGACCUUUUGCUAAUAGAUGAGCCUGCGUAGGAUUAGCUAGUUGGUGGGGUAAAAGCUCACCAAGGCGACGAUCCUUAACUGGUUUGAGAGAAUGAUCAGUCACACUGGAACUGAGACACGGUCCAGACUCCUACGGGAGGCAGCAGUGGGGAAUAUUGGACAAUGGGCGAAAGCCUGAUCCAGCAAUACCGCGUGUGUGAAGAAGGCCUUAGGGUUGUAAAGCACUUUCAAUUGGAAGGAAAACCUCGAAGCUAAUACCUUCGAGUUUGACAUUACCUUUAGAAGAAGCACCGGCUAACUCCGUGCCAGCCGCCGCGGUAA
rnacentral:rRNA from 1 species